UAUACGACCGUACCGCAAACCGACACUGGUGCGCGAGAUGAGUAUUCUAAGGCGCUUGAGUAACUCAGGAGAAGGAACUCGGCAAAUUGACACCGUAACUUCGGAAGAAGGUGUGCCCUCUUAGUGUGUAGUGAACAACGAAGCAUGAAUGGGUUGCAAAAAAUCGGUGGCUGCGACUGUUUAUUAAAAACACAGCACUCUGCAAACACGAAAGUGGACGUAUAGGGUGUGACGCCUGCCCGGUGCUGGAAGAUUAAAUGAUGGGGUGCAAGCUCUUGAUUGAAGUCCCAGUAAACGGCGGCCGUAACGAUAACGGUCCUAAGGUAGCGAAAUUCCUUGUCGGGUAAGUUCCGACCUGCACGAAUGCGUAACGAUGGCCACACUGUCUCCUCCUGAGACUCAGCGAAGUUGAAAUGUUUGUGAUGAUGCAAUCUCCCCGCGGAAAGACGGAAAGACCCCAUGAACCUUUACUGUAGCUUUGUAUUGGACUUUGAACAGAUCUGUGUAGGAUAGGUGGGAGGCUUUGAAGCAGGGUCGCUAGAUCUUGUGGAGCCAACGUUGAAAUACCACCCUGGUGUGUUUGAGGUUCUAACCUAGUCCAUUAUCUGGAUCGGGGACAGUGCAUGGUAGGCAGUUUGACUGGGGCGGUCUCCUCCCAAAGCGUAACGGAGGAGCUCGAAGGUACGCUAGUUACGGUCGGACAUCGUGACGAUAGUGCAAUGGCAUAAGCGUGCUUAACUGCGAGACUGACAAGUCGAGCAGAUGCGAAAGCAGGACAUAGUGAUCCGGUGGUUCUGUAUGGAUGGGCCAUCGCUCAACGGAUAAAAGGUACUCUGGGAUAACAGGCUGAUACCGCCCAAGAGUUCAUAUCGACGGCGGUGUUUGGCACCUCGAUGUCGGCUCAUCUCAUCCUGGGGCUGUAGCCGGUCCCAAGGGUAUGGCUGUUCGCCAUUUAAAGAGGUACGUGAGCUGGGUUUAAAACGUCGUGAGACAGUUUGGUCCCUAUCUUCCGUGGGCGCUGCAGAUUUGAGGAAGCCUGCUCCUAGUACGAGAGGACCGGAGUGGACACACCUCUGGUGUAUCGGUUGUCACGCCAGUGGCAUUGCCGAGUAGCUAAGUGUGGAAGAGAUAACCGCUGAAAGCAUCUAAGCGGGAAACUCGUUUCAAGAUGAGAUCUGCCGGGGCCUUGAGCCCCCUAAAGAGUCGUUCAAGACCAGGACGUUGAUAGGUCAGGUGUGGAAGC
rnacentral:rRNA from 1 species